UACUAGGGUAGUACCCCCUCGUCCGGUAGCUUCUAGGCGGGUAGCUGGUCAUGCUCCUUCGUCUCAUCCUGCUCCUCUUUUGCGGGAUUCUGUUGUUAGGAGCUCGCCUGCGGACGUUCCGGAACCAGCUCUCUCGC
rnacentral:ribozyme from 1 species